UAGGGUGUUUUGAGUUGUUGCCAGGGCGUUGCUAUACAGGUUUUGAGUUGUUGCCAGGGGGUUGCUAUAGGGUUGCUAUGGGGUUUUGAGUGUUGUUAGGGUGUUGCUAUAGGGUGAUUUGAGUUGUUGCCAGGUGUUGUUAAAGGCUGUUUUGAAUUGUUGCCAGGACAUUUCUAUAUGGUGUUUUGAGUUGUUGCAAAGGAGGUGCUAUAGGGUUGCUAUGGGGUUUUGAGUUCUUGUCAGGCUGUUGCUAUAUGGUUGCCAGGGCGUUGCAAUAAGGUGUUUUGAGUUGUUGCCAGGCCAUUUCUAUAGGUGGUAUUGCAUUGUUGCCAAGGCGUAGCUAUAGGUAUAGGGGUUUUGAGUUGUUGCCAGGGCGUUGCUAUAGGGGUUUUGAGUUGUUGCCAAGGCGUUGCUAUAGGAUGUGGUGAGUUGUUGCCAGUGUGUUGCUAUAGGGUGUUUUGAGUUGUUGCCAGGGCAUUGCUAUAGGGUGUGGUGAAUUGUUGCCAGUGCAUUGCUAUAGGGUGUUUUGAGUUGUUGCCAGGCCUUGCUAUAGGGGUUUUUAGUUAUUUCCAGGGCAUUGCUAUAGGGGGUUUUGAGUUAUU